GAUUUUACAUAUACAUCACAUUUCUCAUUAAUAUGGUUAACAAUAAAGAUUAGUAAUAAGGAAAAGAAGCACAUCAGCCUACAUUGUUAAAUCCCGUCCUACUGUGGAUAAACAGAAAAUCUCCGCUUAUUAACUACCUAAUCACUGGACCCCUUUCCCACUGCUCUGAUCAAAUCAAAUAUGACUUUCCUAAGCCCUCUCAUCACCACCAUUAUAAACUCUUCCCUGCAAUCUGGCUAUUUUCCAAUCUCUCUGAAAACUGCACUUAUCAACCCUCGGCUUAAGAACCCUCCCUUGAUCCUGAUGUUUUAUCAAAUUACCGGCCUAUUUCUAACAUCCCAUUUCUCUCCAAAGUCAUUGUCACCCAAAUGCAAAAUCACCUUCACUCACACCGUCUCUAUGAAAAAUUCCAGUCUGGUUUCUGCUCCGCCCAUAGUACAGAGACAGCCCUGGUCAGGGUCACAAACGAUCUGCUUGUGGCCGCUGACCAGGGCUCUCCAUCCCUUCUCUUGCUCUUGGACCUCUCAGCCGCCUUCGACACUGUUGACCAUAACAUCCACCUCCAUUGUCUGCAACACUUCAUCGGCAUUUCACACACAGCAUUUCAGUGGUUUCAGUCCUACCUGACUGAUAGAGUUGGUUAUGUGCCAGGUCGAGGCCCCACACAGUCACAUGUGGAGUGCCUCAGGGUUCGGUCUCCUCAUUGGGACCCCACACAACUCUGACCCCACCCAAAUCCUCCACCCUGACCAUUUACUCAUUUGCUGGCCAUGACAUUUCUCUCACAUCCUCUAUAACAAACCUGGGGGUUCGAUUUGACCCCCACCUAUCAUUUAACACCCACAUCCAACUUAUCUGUAAGACUGCAUUCUUUCAUCUCCGGAACAUCUCCAAACUCCGGCCCUCCCUCUCCUUUUCCGAUUCAUAGAAGCUGGUUCAUGCCUUUGUCUCCUCCAGGCUCGACUACUGCAAUGCACUCUUCAUCGGGAUCCCUGGCAGGAGCCUGCAGAGACUGCAGUACAUUCAGAACUGCGCUGCCAGGGUUCUGAUGAGGGUGCGUAAAUCUGAGCACAUCACACCCAUCCUCCAUAAACUUCACUGGCUUCCUGUUAAGUUCCGGAUUGAGUAUAAGAUAUGUCUCCUGACCUAUCAGUGUGUCUACGGUAGCGCACCAGUGUACCUCCAAGACCUCAUCAAUAAGCAAAACCCAACCCGACAUCUCCAUUCCUCUGAUAGCCACCAACUCCAGGUCCCCAAGUCCAAACUCCGCACUAUGGGAGAUAGGGCCUUCCAGGUGGCUGCGGCUCGACUUUGGAAUACUCUCCCCAACAACCCAAGGACGCCACAAUCUAUUGAGGUUUUUAAAAAAUAAUUUAAAGACUCACUUAUUUUGUAUUGCAUUUUCUUGAUAUAAUUCUGUUUUAGUGUUGUUUUUGACUAUUUUUGACUGUUUUUAUUUUCAGUUAUUUUAUCUGUGCACCUGUAGCACUUUGAGAUGUGUUCUUCAUGUGUAAAGUGCAAUAUAAAUAAAAUGUAUUAUUAUUAUUAUUAUUAUUACCACGGAUGAUCAAGUUGUUGCUCUACAUUGGUCCACGCAUCAUUUUUUUAAAAACUUUUU